ensembl:lncRNA
GGCAGGAUGUACUUGGGCUGGAACUCAAUUCAGCUGCUCACACACAGGCAUCUAUUACCAUCUGAGAUCCCCUCGGAAGUCCAAGAAGCACACAAGGCUGGAAGACAUGGCACACAGAGCCUCUGCGAGCAGUUAGUUGUGUCCUGGCCUCCUCAGCUGGCUGUAGGGAUCAACCUUCCUACUCACAGGCUUCCAUGGCCAUGGAAAAAUCUUUUUUGAAGCUCCUCUUUGAGUUCCCUGUGGCAAGAAACAGCUGUUUCUGUUCUAAACUCGGCUCCUCAUGCUCUCAGGCCAAUCAUGUCAAUCUGGUGGAGUAAAGGUCUAAAGGAAGUCAGACCAAUGUAACUGUGUGGACACCCGCUUUGUUAAAAGGAUGGGAAAACCUUCUCCUUGGAACCUUAGACGAAAAAUUGAUGGUUGAAAGAUUUCAUAUGAAACAUACAACAAAAACCUCAAGGUGCUACAAAUUUCUUCUUCUUGUUGAGGCUGACAUUGGGAUCAGGAUUUACCCAGUCCCCUGGCAACUGUUACCAGCAAGAGCUGCCUUCCUCCUGCUCCCUAGAGGACCUGAAGACCUUGCUUAUAAAACUACCCACCAAAUGACAAAAAAAUAAUUUGCCCACCAUGAGGCAGGGAGAGACUGCAGUGAGGCGGUGACAAGAACUGCAAUACAUUCAG